UACAGAGGUCUCAAGCGUUGUUCGGAUUCAUUGGGCGUAAAGGGUGCGUAGGUGGCGCCGUAAGUCAGGUGUGAAAUCUCGGGGCUUAACUCCGAAACUGCAUUCGAUACUGCCGUGCUUGAGGACUGGAGAGGAGACUGGAAUUUACGGUGUAGCGGUGAAAUGCGUAGAUAUCGUAAGGAAGACCAGUGGCGAAGGCGGGUCUCUGGACAGUUCCUGACGCUGAGGCACGAAGGCCAGGGGGAGCAAAACGGGG
rnacentral:rRNA from 1 species